rnacentral:rRNA from 1 species
UACGAAGGGGGCUAGCGUUGUUCGGAAUUACUGGGCGUAAAGCGCACGUAGGCGGAUAUUUAAGUCAGGGGUGAAAUCCCAGAGCUCAACUCUGGAACUGCCUUUGAUACUGGCGACCUGGACCCAAGUAGAGGCGAGUGGAAUUACGAGUGUAGAGGUGAAAUUCGUAGAUAUUCGUAGGAACACCAGUGGCGAAGGCGACUCGCUGGACUUGUGGUGACGCUGAGACGCGAAAGCGUGGGGAGCAAACAGG